rnacentral:rRNA from 1 species
AUUGAACGCUGGCGGCAUGCUUUACACAUGCAAGUCGGACGGCAGCGGGGUAGUGCUUGCACUACUGCCGGCGAGUGGCGAACGGGUGAGUAAUAUAUUGGAACGUACCGAGUAAUGGGGGAUAACCAAUCGAAAGAUUGGCUAAUACCGCAUACGCUCUGAGGAGGAAAGCAGGGGACCUUCGGGCCUUGCGUUAUUCGAGCGGCCAAUAUCUGAUUAGCUAGUUGGUGGGGUAAGGGCCUACCAAGGCGACGAUCAGUAGCGGGUCUGAGAGGAUGAUCCGGCACACUGGGACUGAGAAACGGCCCAGACUCCUACGGGAGGCAGCAGUGGGGAAUUUUGGACAAUGGGCGGAAGCCUGAUCCAGCCAUGCCGCGUGUCUGAAGAAGGCCUUCGGGUUGUAAAGGACUCUUGUUAGGGAAGAAAAAGGAGCGGUUAAUACCCGUUUCUGCUGACGGUACCUAAAGAAUAAGCACCGGCUAACUACGUG